GCCUUGAUAGCUCAGUUGGGAGAGCGUUAGACUGAAGAUCUAAAGGUCACCAGUUCGAUCCUGGUUCAAGGCA
rnacentral:tRNA from 1 species